UAAUUAGCAGAGUUUUUAUUAUUAAGGAAAUGUUUAAUUGAACAUUUUAAAAACAAAUAUCUUCAAAGAAAAAAAAUGCGGGUAAGCCUUUUUUACAACAAACAACAAGAAGAGUAAUAACAAGAGUGCCAGAUCAUUAAAAAUAAAAUAUCCUAAACGUCAACCAAAAUAAAAUCACGGACACAAAAAAUAAUUUAACAGGAGUUAGCUUCAAUGCUACAAAUUUGAAAAAGGAAACUUCUACUGUGUCGGGGUACAGGUCUAUUAAGACUUGUCUGGCCUGGUCGUAGGACUUAUUGGCUAAGUCAAGUUGGCGAAAAAAAGUAAGGGGUGAACCUGAGAGUUGUGCCGGAAGUUUUUGGAGGCUCUCCGUCCCUGUCAGGUAGGUGUGGUCGGCGAUGUCGUCGUAUUGCUUGAAGAAAUUGGUGGCGGGGUACGUUCCAUCGUACCGGGGUAGAUCUCUUUGGCUGGGGUUUACGAUGUCGCGAAGAGCUGCUGCCAACUGCGUUACGAUGUCGGUCGCGAUUGAAGGCGUGGCAUUUCCCUCCAAGGUGGCGUCACUCCUUGCCUGGUUCUCCAUCUUCUGAAAUCUUGUCUUUGGUAGGUAAUCCUGUCGACUCUCUGUAGUAAGGUAGUCGAUCCUGAAGGAUGACUGUAGUGUGUUGGUUAAAUGCAGUCGUUGUGGCCUCAAUGUUAGAGUGGGUUCAGGCGUGAAUGUAUUGCACCAAAGAACGAGACAUGGUAGAUGUCACCACGGAGAUGGCGAGAGAGUGAGUGUAGCCGACGCCGGUCAGGGGAGUGAUUUGGUUUCGGGCUAAUUGUCCAAGUUUGGUUAUGACAUAGUAUAGCCACGCUUGAUAGAUUAAAACAGGAAAUAGGUGAAUAGCGUGGUAAGUUUCUUUAUUUCGCACAACAAGCUUCGGGCAUCAGCUGCCCUUCAUCAGGUACAAUGCGUGAUUAGAAAGAGUGAACCAAUAUUUAUAUGCAAUGAAUUAGCAUAAAAGAAAACUAACUAAGAUCUACUUAAAAAUUAAGAAAUUUACAUAUGAAACUAAAGGGAAAAGUACGAAAUUUCUGAAGAAAUAAACUAAAAGAUUUGUAUAAGGCGAAUUAAAAGUAAAGCACGGGAAAAAAGGAUGGAAAGACAAGAAAACGAAAGUAUCUAGGCAUAAUAAAGGAAUAAAGAAAGAUAUCAGUGGCCAAGAUUAGAAAGAUUAGAAAAAACAGUAUAUUGGGGGGGGGGGGGAUAUCUAUUUUUCUGUUAAAACUAGGGACAGAGCUGGACACGAAAGUCUCAAGGACCAAACGUUGAUAUUUGUUCUUAACACCGCUAUAUACCGGAAUCGUGUUGCGUAAAUUAAAAGAAUGUCUAAAUUUUGCUGUGUUGGUAUAAUAGGGACUUACGAUCGUGAGAACGGAUGUUACGGUCGUGUUCUAGGACUCGAGUGGCAAUGGUUCGGCCAGUUUCUCCAACAUAGGAUUGUGGGCAGUCAUUACACGGGAUUCUGUAGAUGGCAUUGGAGAGAGUUUGGGGGCUGGGUUUAAUGGACAUAACAUUUGGUUAUGGACUUUUAACCCCACAUCAUGGCAGCAGACGCGAUGUCAGGUGGCAAGGGAUCCUAGGAUCUGGCGGCAGGAGAUGUCUCACAGGGAGGAAAGGGAGGAAACGUUGAGCUAGCAGGGGAACAGCGCCAGGGUGCAGUGAGGCAGGAGUCUUGGUAUGGCUUGAAAUCCAGUAGAAGUGGCAGUUGAAGGUGGUGGCAGGAGGUCCUGGAAGCCUAGAACUUGAGGGCCCUAGACUUCAGGAUGGGGCAGCUUGAGGCUCUCGCCUCGUGCUUGUCAGGAAGGCCCUUGGCGCAGCAGUUGGCACACUUGAAGGUGUGCUGGUCGGCAAUGGAUGGACAGGCGCGGCCUUCAUGGCAGUCUUCACCGCAGUGGAAGCACUUUGGAGCUCUGGAGCAUUGUGCGGAGUUGUGGCCGAAGCCACAGCAGCGGAAGCAGACACGGCCGCGGAUGGAUUCCUCGAAGUUGAGGAUGACUCCAUCCACCAUGAUCCUCCUGCGCACGCCCAGGGCUCUGAAGGUCUUGAGGUCUAGCUCGAUGAAGGUGGUGCAGGUCCCGUUUCUGGGUGCAGAACGGUGCGCCCCGCGCACCACCUUGUCCCCAGGGAGUUGGCUAACAACAGGUGUCUCCAGGAAGGUCUCUUCAAUGGUGGAGUUGGUUGUCUCCUCGUCCACUCUGAAGAGGCAGAUGUGAGGCAGGAUCUCCUUCUGCUGGCGGACCUUCAUUCUAUCCAGCUUGUUGGUGAGGGAGGUUGUAACUGCGGGGAUGGUGUCUGGGUUGCUGGAAUGUAGUACCAGCUUCCCUUUGGUGCGCAGGGAUUUCCAGACGCCCUGGGGGAGAGUGUGGGCAACACGGACUGCUUUCAGCAUCUCCCUUGGGUCAGCCUGCGGGUUAUCUGAAAUAACCACAAUGUGGGCCGCCGAUUUUUCUCCAUGGAGGGUCACUCGGGCGGCUACAGGCUUGGAGACUAGGGAAGGCGCAGGCUUGGAAGGACCUUGCAAAUUGGUCCUCUUUGCAGGCGGUUUGGGAGCCUCAGGCUGCUUCCUUUUUGUUGGAGCAGGAGCAGGCAACUUGGGGGCAGGCUUUUUCGUUGGGAGAGCAGCAGGAGUGGCGGGCUUGACUGGGUCAGUCUGGGAGCAGGUGUCCUUGCAGGAAGGAGCUGGGCUGGUUUGGGUGCUGUGGCAGGCAGUCUGGGGCUUUUUGUCCUCCAUGACGUCGUCCAGCUCCGCGAAGGCAUCGAGGGUGCCAGUGAGGUUCUCCACUUCAGCAAGGAGGGCCUUGAUCAGCUCAGUCCACAUCGCGAUGAAGCUGAUCAGGUCUUCAUGCAGUGUCUUGAGGGAGGGAUGGCCAAUGGAGCGCAGGAUAUGGUGGUUGCGGGAGAUCACCAUUUUAUCCUCCUUCUCCAGGGCAGCGACAUCCACGAUAGGCUUGUAAGCUUUCUUCCUCUUCUUCUUGGCAGGAUUCAUGGCUAGAGCAAGGGAGCAGAGAUGUGACCAGGUAGAGAGCUAGCUGGCAACUAGAUGACAUGAUGCCGGUCAGGGAAAAACUGUCUAGAGGGGUCUGUAAAUCGUGUGUCUCGAGGCGGACUAAUCUGUUUGCGUAAGAAGGGGGCAUACCCGACUUGUUUUUCGGACCCUUUUCCGGCUUUCCAGCGCUGACUGUAACUUACUCGAUUUUAUUUGGCACUUUGGCAAUUACACUACAUCUAUACAAUACAUGGAGACAUAGAUAUAUAUUGGAAUAUAUCACAACAGUUUAUGCCCUGGUUGAUGAAAAUUAGCUUAUGGUGAUUAUAGAUGAAAUCAUAAGAUAAUUAUAAUGGGGGGAAAUAAUUUAUAUACAAAUUGGUUUGAUAUAUUAUGGGGUUGUAGAAUUAUAACAUUGGGUAUGUUUUCUUUAAUAAUAAAAAGAGAAAUGUUAACAAAUAAUAAUGUUAAGCCCAAUGUAUAAAAAUAUAUGAAAAAGGAUUUUUUUAAAUGUAAAGAUAUAAAUAUAAAUUUGGGUGAUUAUAUACAGCAUUGAAUGUUGGAAUUAAUAUUUGAAAGUGCAUUGAAUUAUUGGAUGAGCUAAUUUAAAAAGUCUAGAUAGGUGGACAUAGAAUAGAUUCUGGUACUGCGAUGCAAUGCGACGUUAUGGGAUUGUAGGCAUUGGUCCAUCUACAGUAUGCUGAAGGUAUUCGAUAUGGGUUGUCCUAUCAGACGGAUUUGGGAAUGGUUGUUGGAAGCUUUGGUCGAGAAAGAGUGAUAGAGAGUGGGGCAGAGAGAGAGAGAGUCGCAUAAAAAAAGAUUUGGCCGCGGUAAGGCAGUAGUGAAAGUGAGUUGAUUGAAAAAAAAAAAAAAAAAGAAUUGCCAGAAUAUGAGAGAAAAAAAAAAAGGGGGGGGGGGGUGUUGAUGCUCGAACUGGGCCGUGUAUGAAAAAAAAAAACAUUUAACUAGCUGCUCAAGUUCGACUGUUGAGAAGGGUACAGCGAAGAAGCGUUUGUAGUUAAGAUGAAUCAUUGUGAGAAAUCAAAGUUUUGGCGGAUAGUAACGAUCUCUCUGGGAAGGUAUGGGCUGUGAUGCCAUGAGAAUUUGGAGGGUAAUGGUGUCGAGGCAUUUUCUAAAAUUUGAAUUUGAAAAUCUUAAAUUUGGAUUUAAAAAAUUGAAGCUGAAAAAAAAAAAAGUUAAAAUUGAAAAUUGUGUGAUGAAUGUUGGUACAGGUUUAGUUACAAGAGUGACUGGACUAGCAUAAGGAGAAAAAGAAGGUUCUAUUAUACCAAAUUUUAGCAUUUGGUUGACCUGCUCUUGUAUUUCUCGUUGAUCAACUAGAGAAGCACGAUAAGGUCUUAAAUCAAUAAUUUUAUCGGACAUAGUAUGAAUCUUAACUGGGGGUAUCUUCAAUUUAGGUACAUCAAAUUUGUUACUAGAAAAAAUAUGAGAAUAUCUAUUAAUUAUAUCUAAAAAGCUUAAAGGGUUGUUGGAAUUUGAACAAGACUGGGAUAUGGGCAUCUGACCUACAUGAUUACUAUAAUUAGGAAUGCAAUCAUUAAAAACGUUCUUUGUGGCAUAUCAACAUGUUUUUUGGGCGAGGCGAAGUCACAAAUAGAAAUGGUUUCAUGUGAAGGAGACAUAUAGCUAAGACCAUGCCUAGAAGGGUCCGACACAUGCAUCGAUGGGUUGUGCUGAUAGGUGGCAAGGUUAGCCAUUUUGUUGGAAUUUUCAAGGCAUUUACCAUAGUUGCAUGAGUCGUUCACAAGCGAAAAAUAGUACACAGUAGGUGGCAGGGGAGCUUCGUUUUGGAAGAUCAAAAAGUUACAUAAAUCUAUUUUCAAUUUGAAAUUGCUUAAUGUAUUAAGAGAUAAUAUGCCAAAUGGUAAUUUGGAAUCUAUAACAUAAAAUUUUGUUAAUUUAGUUAAACAGCCUGUAGUGACAUUUAAAUAUAAAAAUCCCAUUGUGGAAAUGUCAUUGGAAACAGAACUAAGAGUAACAUUGUCAUCAUAUGUUUAAAAGUACAACCUAAAUUGUUUUCAAGAAAGGCAAGUAUUGUUCUAUUAAUUAUAUUGACCGAAGCUCCUGUAUCUGCCAAGAACAGUAAACAACAUUUUCUGCAUAGUCCCAGUUUAAAUAUUAAAUUAUGGAGGACAACGAAAAUUACCUAUUUCCUCGCUUCGGGGAGUGGUCUGGACUGUGGUGUCAGAUGACCGUGCUGGCUGGGAACUGGUGGUGGAGUGAGAUGUCCUCGGCUGACGCCCCGUAUUUUCUUUGUAAAACACAUUGUUUCGACCAGAAGGUUGUUGGCGCGGACACUGGGCAUUCCAGUGGUUUCCCCGACAGUAGUGGCAUGGUGACGGGGGUUGCGAUGGCACACUUGAAUCUGUAUGGCGAGGCAGUCUAGGGGUGCUGAAGAAUCUCAGCGGCAUGUUAUAAAGCCGGCUUGGUUGUUCCCUGGCCAAAGUAAUUUCCCUGAAGAAAAAUGCCUUUUGUUUUGAUAUUUUAUCAGGAUUAGAAAGCAACCUCUUCGCUUGUUCUUUAUUUUCAGUGAAACAAAAUCUUUCCUUUACUGCAGGGUUGAAUCUACAAUUCUUUGCUAUAUGUCCCAUUUUGCCACAGCAAAAACAUUUGACAGCUUUGGCUUGAGUAUUCUGAUAAUUGUGGGAUGUGCUAGCUUCUUGGGUUUUCCCUGCAGGAUGAUACUUUCUUCUUUCAUGGAAAGUUGGCUGUUUUUCUUCCUUGAUCACAAAGGCCCUUGAUGUGGUUUCUUCUUCAAUGGUGUCAUGUCUGAGUUGUCUCUUUUCUUCUAGUAACAGUUUAGCCUUGACUAUUUUCGUUGAAGGUUUUUCUUCAUUUUGUUCCAAAUUCAGGAUCAUUGGUUCAUAGGUCUUGGGCAACCCCAUUAGCAUUAUGAGUGCCAAUUCUGUAUCCUUGAAACCAUGUCCUCCUUUCUCCAGUUUUCUGUGGAUGUUCAUUAUCCUUGCUAUAUAAUCUUUCAUUGAUUCAUUCAUUUUUGUGAUAUUAAAUAUAUCUCUCAGUAAUUGCAGAAUGUGAAGCAAUCCAUAUUUGGUGUGUAUUUCUUCUAAAAUAUUCCAUGCUUCACUUGCUCUUUCACAAUCUCCAAUAUCAUCUAAAAAUUCGUCUUCUACAAUUAAAAAAAUCUGUGAUAUUGCAAUGUUGGUUAUUUUUCUUCUGAGCUGCAGUUAGAGUUUCGUCAAAACCUGGAUCAACCGCUUCCCAUACACCUUUUUGUAUUAGGGUAGCCUUAGCCCUAAUAGACCAAGCAUGGUAAUUUUCACCAUUUAAUUUCGUUAUUUUAAAGUCUUCUGAACUCAUUGUAAAAAAAAAAAGAUAUUCAAGAAGUAUAUUUACCCCAAAAGAUGUUUCUUCUUCUUCAAAAAAAAGGAUAGGCAAAUCGUCUUUGUUUUCCAAAAAUGCAAUUGGCGUCGUCUUCAAAGAUUGCGCAAUAAGCGAUGGUGAGAUUUGCAAAAACAAAGAAACUUUUUAUUUAUAAUUACCGUCUUCUGUUAUGUUGGCCAUAACCUUUGUUAAAUAAUUAGCAGAGUUUUAUUAAGGAAAUGUUUAAUUGAACAUUUUAAAAACAAUUAUCUUCAAAGAAAAAAAAUGUGGGUAAGCCUUUUUUACAACAAACAACAAGAAGAGUAAUAACAAGAGUGCCAGAUCAUUAAAAAUAAAAUAUCCUAAACGUCAACCAAAAUAAAAUCACGGACACAAAAAAAUAAUUUAACAGAGGAGUUAGCUUCAAUGCUACAAAUUUGGAAAAGGAAACUUCUACUGUGCCGGGGUACAGGUCUAUUAAGACUUGUCUGGCCUGGUCGUAGGACUUAUUGGCUAAGUCAAGUUGGCGAAAAAAAGUAAGGGGUGAACCUGAGAGUUGUGCCGGAAGUUUUUGGAGGCUCUCCGUCCCUGUCAGGUAGGCGUGGUCGGCGAUGUCGUCGUAUUGCUUGAAGAAAUUGGUGGCGGGGUACGUUCCAUCGUACCGGGGUAGAUCUCUUUGGCUGGGGUUUACGAUGUCGCGAAGAGCUGCUGCCAACUGCGCUACGAUGUCGGUCGCGAUUGAAGGCGUGGCAUUUCCCUCCAAGGUGGCGUCACUCCUUGCCUGGUUCUCCAUCUUCUGAAAUCUUGUCUUUGGUAGGUAAUCCUGUCGACUCUCUGUAGUAAGGUAGUCGAUCCUGAAGGAUGACUGUAGUGUGUUGGUUAAAUGCAGUCGUUGUGGCCUCAAUGUUAGAGUGGGUUCAGGCGUGAAUGUAUUGCACCAAAGAACGAGACAUGGUAGAUGUCACCACGGAGAUGGCGAGAGAGUGAGUGUAGCCGACGCCGGUCAGGGGAGAACUGUCUAGAGGGGUCUGUAAAUCGUGUGUCUCGAAGCGGACUAAUUUGUUUGCGUAAGAAGGGGGCAUACCCGACUUGUUUUUCGGACCCUUUUCCGGCUUUCCGGCACCGACUAACUUGCUCGAUUUUAUUUGACACUUUGGCAAUUACACUACAUCUAUACAACACAUGGAGACAUAGAUAUAUAUUGGAAUAUAUUACAACAUAUAUAUAUUGUCGCGGAGAUAAAUAAAGCAAGGGCAAAAUUGGGAAUAAUUAAUUUAUUAUAAAGGGUAUUUACCUUUUAGUUCUUCAAUAAAAAUUAUUUACAAGAGGUAUUUAAGGGAGAGAGAGAGAUGAUAAAAACAACUUAUCCCCAGGUAAAGAUAAUAAUAAUGAGUUGCGCCAGCCACCAAGGGGUCCCGUUUUCCUUGUUUGCAUAUCAGCUUCCGAGAACCCCUCACACCUGUGCUUCCCCCCCCCGGGGUCCAGGGAUGAUUGACAGGUGUCCCAUCUGGAUGGAGCUUCUUGACAAUAUUCCACAGUCUUAUUGCAAUACUUUGCUAAUGUUUGAAGAAGUGUUGUUUGG